AUGUUAAGGAGAUUUUUGAGGGGCUCUUCUAGCCAAGGCUCACAGGAAAAACAAGCUAAAGAGAAGGAAAAGGCCAAGUAUAAUCUUCCCCGUGUAGCGGAAGUACGGCCGUGUGAAUGGCCCUGUGAUGAUUUCUUGAGAGAAGCCGGGAUUUAUGAAAAAUUGUAUUCUUUGAUUGAAAAUGCAGGCCUCACCGACUUCCUCCACGACCGGAUCGAUCAGUAUCUCUUACUCACCAAUACUUUCGUGCAAAAAUUUUAUUACUAUCCUAAGAAAUCACUGCCUUCAGUAUCAUUUCAUUUAUAUGAUGAAUUCAAGGAAAUGUCUUUACGUAAUUUUUGCGCGGUAUGUAGAAUACCCUUUGAAGGCAAGUUAGAUGAACCACAUUGUAAAGAUGUGAAUGGCUUUGUUAACACCAUUACUGUAGGGGAUCCAAAGAAGGGUUCCGAUGCGAGAAUCUCUAGCAUUCACUUUCCUGUUUUACGCUACUUUGCCUUAUUUGCUAGUCGAUGCUUAAUUGGUCGUGGAAACAGUGGAAACUUUAGUGUCCCUGAUAUUAUUAUUCUGUUCCAUGCCUUGUUUGGUGAUAACAGUUUUAGUAUGGGUGCCGUUAUUGCUAAACGGCUAAGCCUGAACCAUACAAAAGGCCCCAUCUUUGGAGGUAUCUAUGCAGCACGCCUUGCCAAACAUUUUGAGAUACCUAUUAGGCACCAUGAGAAAGAGGAAAAAAUAUUGCCUCCUUACAUUUUAGAUUACAAGAGCAUGGUAGCACAUGAGUUUAUUGUUCAUAAUGAUGAUAGGAUGCUCCUGUAUAACUUGAGAUUUAAUAAGAAACACAAUGAAACUAUUAUCCUGCCUGCACCUCUGUUGUUUGAUUUGACUGUAGUUAAUUAUCUUGUCACGCUGGAAGCGGUGUAUGCUCAUCGAGGCCAAGCAUCCACUCCAGAGCCUGAGCCGGAACCUUCACUAGAUCCUUAUCGUUCAUCAUCUUACCAGUGGGAUCCGGAGGAGAUGGCCAGCCAUUGGUAUCCUGAUUACACCCCUCAGUACACCGGGGAGAGCGGUCCCCAAAAGCCUAAGCUUGGGGGAGUACGUAUUUCUCACCGACUUUACAUUCAUGUUCACACACUAUUCUAG
rnacentral:rRNA from 1 species